rnacentral:lncRNA from 1 species
GCGCUUCAGUGGUUUCGUUAUCGCGUAGUGCUGCGCAGUUGGUUUAUCCGGCUCGCGAAACUCGCAGAAACUGUUCUUUUAUUCUAUGCUGCAAACAGCAGAGAAUGCCACGUCCAUGUGAUGUCGCGGGAUGUCCAAACGGUCCAAGGAAUGGCCCAGGCCGCUUGGUCAAGAGCAGUUGCAGCGGCGAAUCCAAUGUGACUUACCACAGUGUGCCAAGAAGUGAACCUCUGCGUUCGAAGUGGCUAAGUGCCGUCCCUCUGCGACAGUGGGAUGGUAAAAAGCCGAAAAAUUUCGUAGUAUGCUCGCUGCACUUUCGUCCAGAGGAUUACGAAUGCAAUGGUAACGUGAGCAAGUCGUGUGGAGUGCCUUUCCGAGCACUGCUUUCCCGUCGCGCUGUUCCGUCGGUCGUGCCCGAAAUACAAGAACCGUUACAGGAUGAUAAAGCUGCGGCUGAACUUGCCGAAAUGGAAACCAGCGAUUCGAUGACCGACACCUCCAACCAGAGCGACGUGACCGAGGUAGUACAUUACGUAAAGUGUGCGAAAACUGUCUAUUUACGGCGCUGGCGCUCAGAAACUGCACUGACAGAAGCCGCUGCAUAAUUUGGAUGCGCGCCUGACGCGCAGCUUCACAAGUUGUUGGUUAUUUUUAGGCGACCCGGGACGUGGGGACACAGGCAAGCCUUUCGUCGAGUACUACUGCCGAGAAAAGUGGAAGUAGCUUUCGAUAUGCUAAAUAUGCGCAAGUUCGUCUGCGCGGCACUAGCAUUGGAGUUCAAGUUAACACAACAAUGAAGAAAACAAAGGAAAAGGGAACGCAGGUUUUAUAGGAGAAGGAAGCACGUGAUGUCAGCUCUGGUCAAGAUGCAUUGUAGUGCAAAGAGCUGAAGGAGCCAAGCAACGGGGACAGACAUCUAGAGAGGAGGCCAGCUUUCUCAUCUCGCAUAAUACCCUGCUGGUAGCAUGCAAAGAUGACAGGCAUGACAGGAGGCAUGAGCCAUACAACUAGACUCGUACCUUGAGUGCAACAUUUGCUGAUCAGUUUGGAAUGUGCAUCAGGCAUCACUGCUGACACGGGUCACUGAUACAACCCUGCAGCUUUAUGGAGAUGGUCACUGUGAUGCGGCAGGUCACAGUGCUAAAAUCCUCACACACGGAGCAAGUUCAAGUCAAGGAGGCUCAUGGCUCCAGAACAAAGACAGCAUGCUGCUAAACUUGCUGGUGAAUGGAGAAGACGCCUGCCAUGGAUACCUGUGCUAAACCUUGCGCUAUGUCAAGAGGUGCCCACCGUCGUCUCCACAUCCUGCUCCUCUCCUGCUUGAAGAGCCAAUCUCAACGCUGCAGGACCUGAACCAGCUGGAUGUCGAGGUCAAUGCCCCAAUCCAGGACUUGCUCAGUGCUCUAGGCCAGUCGGU